CGGGGUGAGUAAUGUCUGGGAAACUGCCUGAUGGAGGGGGAUAACUGCUGGAAACGGUAGCUAAUACCGCAUAACGUCGCAAGACCAAAGAGGGGGACCUUCGGGCUUCUUGCCAUCGGAUGUGCCCAGAUGGGAUUAGCUAGUAGGUGGGGUAACGGCUCACCUAGGCGACGAUCCCUAGCUGGUCUGAGAGGAUGACCAGCCACACUGGAACUGAGACACGGUCCAG
rnacentral:rRNA from 1 species